UACGUAGGGAGCAAGCGUUGUCCGGAAUCAUUGGGCGUAAAGCGCGCGUAGGCGGCCCUGUAAGUCCGUUGUGAAAGUCAAAGGCUCAACCUUUGAAAGCCGAUGGAUACUGCAGGGCUAGAGUCCGGAAGAGGCGAGUGGAAUUCCUGGUGUAGCGGUGAAAUGCGUAGAUAUCCGAAGGAACAUCAGUGGCGAAAGCGGCUUCCUGGACCAGAACUGACGAUCAGGCACGAAAGCGUGGGGAGCAAACAGG
rnacentral:rRNA from 1 species